CACCAUAUUUGUGGUGAUUUGGCCGGUCGGCUUGCAGCCACGUAAAAUAAGUCGCUAAAGGACCGAACGAUGGUGGGA
rnacentral:ncRNA from 2 species